rnacentral:tRNA from 1 species
GUUAACUUAUCAGGCUCAUAAUCUGAAGAUGUAGGUUCAAGUCCUACUCUCAUCA